rnacentral:rRNA from 1 species
AGGCAAUGAUGCGUAGCCGAACUGAGAGGUUGAUCGGCCACAUUGGGACUGAGACACGGCCCAAACUCCUACGGGAGGCAGCAGUAGGGAAUCUUCCACAAUGGGCGAAAGCCUGAUGGAGCAACGCCGCGUGGGUGAAGAAGGUCUUCGGAUCGUAAAACCCUGUUGUUAGAGAAGAAAGUGCGUGAGAGUAACUGUUCACGUUUCGACGGUAUCUAACCAGAAAGCCACGGCUAACUACGUGCCAGCAGCCGCGGUAAUACGUAGGUGGCAAGCGUUAUCCGGAUUUAUUGGGCGUAAAGGGAACGCAGGCGGUCUUUUAAGUCUGAUGUGAAAGCCUUCGGCUUAACCGGAGUAGUGCAUUGGAAACUGGGAGACUUGAGUGCAGAAGAGGAGAGUGGAACUCCAUGUGUAGCGGUGAAAUGCGUAGAUAUAUGGAAGAACACCAGUGGCGAAAGCGGCUCUCUGGUCUGUAACUGACGCUGAGGUUCGAAAGCGUGGGUAGCAAACAGGAUUAGAUACCCUGGUAGUCCACGCCGU